CCCCGGCUAACUUCGUGCCAGCAGCCGCGGUAAUACGAAGGGGGCUAGCGUUGUUCGGAAUUACUGGGCGUAAAGGGCGCGUAGGCGGCUGUUCAAGUCAGGCGUGAAAUCCCCGGGCUUAACCUGGGAAUUGCGCUUGAGANCUGAGCGGCUUGAGUUCGGGAGAGGUGAGUGGAAUUCCCAGUGUAGAGGUGAANAUUCGUAGAUAUUGGGAAGAACACCGGUGGCGAAGGCGGCUCACUGGACCGAUACUGACGCUGAGGCGCGAAAGCGUGGGGAGCAAACAGGAUUAGAUACCCUGGUAGUC
rnacentral:rRNA from 1 species